AACCCUCGACCUUAGUUGCCAGCAUUCAGUUGGGCACUCUAAGGUGACUGCCGGCUAAAAGUCGGAGGAAGGUGGGGAUGACGUCAAAUCAUCAUGCCCCUUAUGACCCGGGCUACACACGUGCUACAAUGGGCGGUACAAAGGGUCGCGAACCCGCGAGGGGGGAGCCAAUCCCAAAAAGCCGCUCUCAGUUCGGAUUGCAGGCUGCAACUCGCCUGCAUGAAGCCGGAAUCGCUAGUAAUCGCGGAUCAGCCAUGCCGCGGUGAAUACGUUCCCGGGCCUU
rnacentral:rRNA from 1 species